rnacentral:rRNA from 1 species
ACGAAGGGGGCUAGCGUUGCUCGGAAUUACUGGGCGUAAAGGGAGCGUAGGCGGACAGUUUAGUCAGAGGUGAAAGCCCAGGGCUCAACCUUGGAAUUGCCUUUGAUACUGAUUGUCUUGAGUUUGGGAGAGGUGUGUGGAACUCCGAGUGUAGAGGUGAAAUUCGUAGAUAUUCGGAAGAACACCAGUGGCGAAGGCGACACACUGGCCCAAUACUGACGCUGAGGCUCGAAAGCGUGGGGAGCAAACAGGA